rnacentral:rRNA from 1 species
UACGAAGGGGGCUAGCGUUGCUCGGAAUCACUGGGCGUAAAGCGCACGUAGGCGGAUCGUUAAGUCAGGGGUGAAAUCCUGGAGCUCAACUCCAGAACUGCCUUUGAUACUGGCGACCUUGAGUUCGGGAGAGGUGAGUGGAACUGCGAGUGUAGAGGUGAAAUUCGUAGAUAUUCGCAAGAACACCAGUGGCGAAGGCGGCUUACUGGACACAUAUUGACGCUGAGGUGCGAAAGCGUGGGGAGCAAACAGG